rnacentral:piRNA from 1 species
AGGACUUUGCUGCCAAGGCCAGACUG